AUUGAACGCUGGCGGCAUGCCUUACACAUGCAAGUCGAGCGGCAGCGCGGGGGCAACCCUGGCGGCGAGCGGCGGACGGGUGAGUAAUACAUCGGAACGUGUCCUUUCGUGGGGGAUAACCAGUCGAAAGACUGGCUAAUACCGCAUGAGAUCUCACGAUGAAAGCGGGGGACCGCAAGGCCUCGCGCGAGUGGAGCGGCCGAUGUCGGAUUAGCUAGUUGGCGGGGUAAAGGCCCACCAAGGCGACGAUCCGUAGCUGGUUUGAGAGAACGACCAGCCACACUGGGACUGAGACACGGCCCAGACUCCUACGGGAGGCAGCAGUGGGGAAUUUUGGACAAUGGGCGCAAGCCUGAUCCAGCCAUGCCGCGUGUGUGAAGAAGGCCUUCGGGUUGUAAAGCACUUUCGGCCGGAACGAAAUCGCGCGGGCGAACAUCCCGCGUGGAUGACGGUACCGGAAGAAGAAGCACCGGCUAACUACGUGCCAGCCGCCGCGGUAAGAC
rnacentral:rRNA from 1 species